rnacentral:pre_miRNA from 1 species
AACAAGUCAUUUUUUCAGUUUUUAAAUAGAAUGUUUGUCUCUUUGUCUUAUUUAAAACUUUUUAUGAUUAAUAUAAUUAUUAUUACUCCAUGAUAAAACAUAAAUAAUACUUUAUAUAUGAUUAAUUUUUUAAAACUUUUUAUAAAUUUUUUAAAUGAGACAAAUGGUCAAACGCUCAACAUAAAAACCCAAAAGUUCUCUUUUU